GGGGCCAUAGCUCAGCUGGGAGAGCGCUUGAAUGGCAUUCAAGAGGUCAGGGGUUCGAAUCCCCUUGGCUCCACCA
rnacentral:tRNA from 1 species